rnacentral:rRNA from 1 species
GUAAUGGCCUACCAAGGCGACGACGGGUAGCCGGCCUGAGAGGGUGACCGGCCACACUGGGACUGAGAUACGGCCCAGACUCCUACGGGAGGCAGCAGUGGGGAAUAUUGCACAAUGGGCGCAAGCCUGAUGCAGCGACGCUGCGUGAGGGAUGACGGCCUUCGGGUUGUAAACCUCUUUCAGCACAGACGAAGCGCAAGUGACGGUAUGUGCAGAAGAAGGACCGGCCAACUACGUGCCAGCAGCCGCGGUAAUACGUAGGGUCCGAGCGUUGUCCGGAAUUACUGGGCGUAAAGAGCUCGUAGGUGGUUUGUCGCGUUGUUCGUGAAAACUCACAGCUUAACUGUGGGCGUGCGGGCGAUACGGGCAGACUUGAGUACUGCAGGGGAGACUGGAAUUCCUGGUGUAGCGGUGGAAUGCGCAGAUAUCAGGAGGAACACCGGUGGCGAAGGCGGGUCUCUGGGCAGUAACUGACGCUGAGGAGCGAAAGCGUGGGGAGCGAACAGGAUUAGAUACCCUGGUAGUCCACGCCGUAAACGGUGGGUACUAG